rnacentral:rRNA from 1 species
UACGUAGGGUCCGAGCGUUGUCCGGAAUUAUUGGGCGUAAAGGGCUCGUAGGCGGUCUGUCACGUCGGGGGUGAAAACUCAGGGCUCAACCCUGAGCGUGCUUCCGAUACGGGCAGACUAGAGGUAUGCAGGGGAGAACGGAAUUCCUGGUGUAGCGGUGGAAUGCGCAGAUAUCAGGAGGAACACCGGUGGCGAAGGCGGGUCUCUGGGCCGAUACUGACGCUGAGGAGCGAAAGCGUGGGGAGCGAACAGG